UCUAGGAAGUGGGUGGUGGCCACAGUCGUCUCUUAGUUGCGACACCGACGAUGCCGCCGAAUGCAAGCCGUCGUUCUCACACUACCGCCUUUGACUAGCAGCCGCCCACCGCUCCAACCGAUGUCGUGAUGUUUACUCAAUCAAUUGAAAUUUAAUACAAAUCUUUUAAAUUGGAACAAGCAUCAUUUAGAAUAGAAUUGAAUAUAUGGUGGAAAAUUUAUCAAUGUGAUAAAAUAUUUAUCACUUUAAUCAAGUUGGAAUCUUGUUUAAAUACAUUUUAUUUGUUUUCUAUUAAAGUUAUUUCAGAACAGCGGACUCGAUAAAUCAGGGAAGCAGCAGCGAUACGAGAUCGGAGUGGUAGUGGUACGAGGGCUCUCCCAAUUUCAACCUAUUGCAUAUUGGUAGUAUUUUAUGUCAUGUGCCUUGAGAAGAAGAGAAUAUUGAGAAUGAAUUUGGAUGUCUUUCAUCAAUGGUGGAUAUGGAUAAAAACCCUUCUUGUGUUUGAGCCACAACGACAUCGGCCAAAUCGACUAAACAAAGAGGACAAUGGUGUUUGUGUUUGGACUUAAGAUUGAUCCUGAUAUUUUUAAGCUUUUGUUAAAAAAAUUGAAAAUGGACACCUGGCAUGGUUUGGUGCAAGAGAUUGAUCACACAGAUUAUAUUGAUUGAAAGACAUGAUGUCUUUCCUGCCACAAAGUCAGGCAAUCCUAAUCGGUAGGGGUGGACAUGGGUCGGGUACGGUCAGAUUCGAGUCAAAAAAUCAAAACCCGAUUGAAUCCUCGGGUGGUACCAAUGGACCCAAUCUCGUCCGUUUUUAUUUCGGGCCGGUCGGAUUCGGGUCACUAGGUGGCGGUUGUGAACGGGUUGGACUUUUGGACUUUGUUGGACCCUUUUUUUUCAUCUUAAAAAAAAUAGCAUAAAGAUCUAAUCGUAAAAGAUAAUUUGACCCAAUAUAGUUUGUUACAUUUAAGACAACUCUGGCCCAUUAAAAUAAAUGGUCCAACCUACCUGCCAAUGAGACUCAUAUUUGUUUUAUAACUUCAA